rnacentral:piRNA from 1 species
UCAUGUGAAGACCAGAUCCCCGGCCC